rnacentral:rRNA from 1 species
UACGUAGGGAGCAAGCGUUGUUCGGAUUUACUGGGCGUAAAGGGCGCGUAGGCGGCAAAUUAAGUCAGCUGUGAAAUCUCCGAGCUUAACUCGGAACGGUCAGCUGAUACUGAUCUGCUAGAGUGCGGAAGGGGCAAUCGGAAUUCUUGGUGUAGCGGGGAAAUGCGUAGAUAUCAAGAGGAACACCUGAGGUGAAGACGGGUUGCUGGGCCGACACUGACGCUGAGUGCGCGAAAGCCAGGGGAGCAAACGGG